CGGAAAUUAGCUCAGUCAGGCCAGAGCGCAGCGUUUGGGACGCUGAAGUCAAAGGUUCGAAUCCUUUAUUUCCGACCA
rnacentral:tRNA from 1 species